AUACGGAGGGUGCAAGCGUUAUCCGGAAUCAUUGGGUUUAAAGGGUCCGUAGGCGGACUAUUAAGUCAGAGGUGAAAUCCCACAGCUCAACUGUGGAACUGCCUUCGAUACUGGUAGUCUUGAGUUAUAUGGAAGUAGAUAGAAUGUGUAGUGUAGCGGUGAAAUGCAUAGAUAUUACACAGAAUACCGAUUGCGAAGGCAGUCUACUACGUAUAUACUGACGCUAAGGGACGAAAGCGUGGGGAGCGAACAGGAUUAGAAACCCCAGUAGUCC
rnacentral:rRNA from 1 species